ensembl:lincRNA Gm15407 predicted gene 15407
ACUCCUUAAUAAGAUGAAUCCGUGUCACCAACAAUAAGUCAUGCUGCCUCUGCUUCCUGUCGCCUCCUGACAGGUCUCUGGUGCCAUCCCGUUCUUCUCUGCAGACAAUUAUUGUGAUAACCGCAUCCAGGCCAUCAAAGAAACAGCUCAGCGAUUGUCAUGACAACCUGAAGAGACGACGCGCUGUACAGCCACCCAGAGCGGGGACAGAGGGUCCCUGUGACAGGAAGAUAACAUAAGACAAAGGACACAGAUGGAGCUCAGUAACCCAGUAUGAGGCGAACCACCGAUACAUGCGUGUUGUUGGCGAAGAUUCCUUCAUCACGCAUCCUUCCACCUGUAUCUACCUCAGCAAAACAUCAUUUGGCGUAACCGACUUUCCCAAUAAACCAGAAGUUUCCACUUCAAUCAUCUCUCUGCUGCCCCACAGAUCUGGUAGCUCGCCCGUUACCUGUGGUCAGCUUGACACAAACCAAGGUUACCCGGGAACCUCAACUGAAGAGCUGCAUGCAAGUCUGCGGGCGGUCUCUUGAACGACAGUUGGUGGAAGGAACUCACAGUGGACCAUGCAACCCCUGCAACAGGUUGUCCUACGAUGCAUGAUAAAGCAAGCAGAGUGAGCCACGGAGAAA